UGAUAAUAAUUUAAGGUUUAAUCUGCUCAAUGAAUUUUUAAAUUGCUGCAGUAUUUUAACUGUACAAAGGUAGCAUAAUAAUUAGUUUUUUUAUUGAAAUCUGGAAUGAAUGAUUGGACGAGAAAAUUUCUGUCUCUUAAUAAUUUUUUUUUGAAUUUAACUUUUGAGUAAAAAGGCUCAAAUUUGUUUAAAAGACGAGAAGACCCUAUAGAGUUUAACUUAGUUUGGUUGGGGUGACCUUAAGAUAAAUUAAACUCUUAAAAAAAUGAUCAUUAAUUUUUGAAUAAAAAAUUUAUUUAAAUAGAUUUAAAAUAAAUUACCUUAGGGAUAACAGCGUUAUUUUAUUUUAGAGUUCUUAUUGAAAAUAAAGUUUGCGACCUCGAUGUUGGAUUAAAAUUAAUUUUAGGUGUAGAAGCUUAAAUUAUUAAGUCUGUUC
rnacentral:rRNA from 1 species